rnacentral:lncRNA from 1 species
UUCAUACAUUACAGUUUAAGUUUACGUUUUGAUUCUGCAAAACUGUCUUCUGCGCUUUUACGAACGAAGUUUCUAAGUUCAGAUCCCUUUAAAACUGUGUUUUAGACGUAAACUACUUUUAAACGUAAAACUACGUUUAGACGUAAAACUGCGUUUAGACGCAAAACUACGUUUAGACAUAAAACUGCGUUUAGACGCAAACUGCGUUUAGACGUAAAACUACGUUUAGACGUAAAACUGCGUUUAGACACAAACUGCGUUUAGACGUAAAACUAUGUUUAGACGUAAAAAUGUGUUUAGACGUAAAACUGCGUUUAGACGCAAACUGCACUGCGCUUAGACGCAAUCUGAUCUUAGACGCAAACUGCGCUUAGAUGCAAUCUGCAUUUAGACACAAACUGCAUUUAGACGCAAACUGCGUAAACUACGCUUAGACGCAAACUGUGUUUAGACAUAAACUGCACUUAAUCAUAAGUAUUCUUAGAAUCGGCUUUUGCAUCAAAAUAGUUUUUAUCAAACGAACGCAGCUUUCGUUUUUAAUCGCUGAAAGAUUUCCGCUGCACUAAUUCACCCCCCCCCC